GGGGCUCCAGUUAAGUUUAGUCCUAGGCCUUCAGCCUUGACUCAGCCUUAAUCUGAAUUACGUUGUAGGAAUAUUUGUCCUAGGCUCAGUCUUAGCUGUGUCUGAUCAUAGACCCUAUUAAUCCAAGCUCUGACCUAUGGGCUGACCUCUCAGCUUGGCCUUGGAGCUACUUUGUGACUGAGGACUUGUGUGAUAAUCAUAGGACUAUGUCUGGCUGCUGCUGCUAGACCUGAUUGUGAUCUGCAUGUUGACUUCCUGGCUUAACUGCAGUCCUGCCUUAUCACCAGGAAUUUGCCUGAUGAUCUGGACUUUUGCAUGAAUGUGGAUGCUAUCUCUGGAUCUUUGGGGUUGUAGGACAAGAUGUUGGCCUGUGAGGCUCUUGCCCCGUUAGCUGUGUUAUCACUCCUGCUUCUUGGCUCUCUGUGCCUUGGGAAGCAGCUGGCCCUUGCUGCUCCCUGACAAAGGCAUUUUAUAGCUCAUGCUGUUGCAUGACAGCUGUCUACUACAACCUGGAACAGGACCAGCUCCAGCUUUUCACAAAGACUGCCAAACCCCCAUAAGAAGCUUGACUUACAGAGUUAAAACAGCUCAUUGAGAGUGCAGGUGAACUGAUAUGAAGAUGGAAAUGAACAGCAAGGGAGCAUGAACCAGCCUUGAUGCUGCAGAAAAUGUCAUAUGUAAUUAUGGUUUUUGCUUAUAUAUAUAUCCCUUCUGAAAUACUGAUCAUGGGGAGUUACUAGGUAGCUAGCAAGUAAAGAAUCAACUCAAUAAAACCACCUAUAUUUCA